UGACGGCGCCCCGGAGCGCCGCUCAGCCAAUGGCCGCCGCUCUUCGUUUCUGGACACGCCCUCUUCAAAAGGACAGCCAGAGGUCCCUUCCUCUGAGGCUUUGGACGCUUGCCUGCUUCUAUUUCUCAGGAACAGAUAAGCCUAAUCCUUCGAGAGAAAGGCCUAAGCCCAUGAAUCAUUAAACAAUACGAAUACCACAGGGCAGUUAGUUUUCAGGCACCGUCUACGUUUAGGGUCCUUGGAGGCCACAGGACAUGAGAUCCUCUGAUGGGUGGGAAGUUGUGAUGAGUUACUAAGAGAAGGUAUGGUGAGCUCUUAGUUCAGUACUUGGCUUAUAAUAAAUGCUCAAGGAGUGAGAAUUCAUGGUGCUGCGGUCGAAAGCUUACACAUGAGUUCUGAGAGUGAACAUCUCCAGCCCUCAAAAUUGUUGUCCUGUCCUACUCUGCUGUUACAACCUAGCCAUCGCAUGUUGACAAACUCCUAUCAGGAAUGCACAGCAGGCUUCACGUUAUGUUUCUGAGAUUUACUAUGUAGACCCUCGGAGACCACAUGUGUGGUAGUACACUGAGGAGGAUCAGGAAUCCAGUGUUAGCCUGAGCUAUGUAAGGAGAAACCUACUUCAAAGCAAACAAGGACCGGUGGGCGGAGCAACCUAAGUGCUUCGUUUUACUCUUUACUGGUCCAUAUUGCAGUUGUCGAGAAAAGUAAUCUGCAUUUCUUCUGGGUGUGAAAGAAAGGACUACAAACCAGAAGAACUUGCAAAGUCAUUACUAGCCCAUUAAGAUUGUGACAUCUGAUCCCAGCCAGUGGGGAAAACACAAUCACCACCUUCCUCAGAAUAAAAGCCAGGAACUUCCUGCCCAGGACUCGGGCGCUAGGCUGCUGACAUAUCCCAGUACCAUGGGGCUGGCUAUUGUUUGGUACUGGAAGAGGCCAGUGGAACCAUGGUUCCUUCCUGCCAGAGGAAAGCUGUUCCUAUCCACUCUAGAAUUGCUUGUUUAUAAAAAGUGUCAACUGUGA